rnacentral:rRNA from 1 species
AGAGUUUGAUCCUGGCUCAGGAUGAACGCUAGCGGAAGGCUUAAUACAUGCAAGUCGAGCGGUAUAGUGACUUCGGUUGCUAGAGAGCGGCGCACGGGUGAGUAACGCGUACAUGACCUACCUCUAAGAUCGGGAUAGCCCUGGGAAACUGGGAUUAAUACCGGAUGUGAUAAUAAGUAUAAGGAUUUAUUAUUAAAGUUGAGGCGCUUAGAGAUGGGUGUGCGUCUGAUUAGCUAGUUGGUAGGGUAAAGGCCUACCAAGGCGACGAUCAGUAGGGGGCGUGAGAGCGUGAUCCCCCACACGGGUACUGAGACACGGACCCGACUCCUACGGGAGGCAGCAGUAGGGAAUAUUGGUCAAUGGACGGAAGUCUGAACCAGCCAUUCCGCGUGCAGGAAGAAGGUCCUAUGGACUGUAAACUGCUUUUAGCAGAGAAGAAACGCCUUCAUUUAUGAGGGUCUGACGGUAUCUGCGGAAUAAGCACCGGCUAACUCCGUGCCAGCAGCCGCGGUAAUACGGGGGGUGCAAGCGUUAUCCGGAAUCACUGGGUUUAAAGGGUGCGUAGGCGGGACAUUAAGUCAGUGGUGAAAGUCUGUUGCUUAACGAUAGAAUUGCCGUUGAUACUGAUGUUCUUGAAUUGGGUUGAGGUUAGCGGAAUGUGACAUGUAGCGGUGAAAUGCAUAGAUAUGUCAUGGAACACCAAUUGCGAAGGCAGCUAGCUGGGCCUUGAUUGACGCUGAGGCACGAAAGCGUGGGGAGCAAACAGGAUUAGAUACCCUGGUAGUCCACGCCCUAAACGAUGCUAACUCGAUGUUUGGUUUUAGGAUUGAGCAUCUAAGGGAAACCGAUAAGUUAGCCACCUGGGGAGUACGACCGCAAGGUUGAAACUCAAAGGAAUUGACGGGGGUCCGCACAAGCGGU